AUAGUCCAUGCAUUGCAGUGAGGAACCGGCUCCGGUUAUCUUUUCAUUAAGGGGCGCCACAGACAAACUCGGCCCUGAAUCGGAAUACCCUCGCGCUUUAUCUGUAGUUACCGAUCGAAGAAAAACGUAAACAAUCUGCUGUCAAACACAUCCUUUUGAAACAUGCUCGGAACUUGCUGUUGUGUGCCGUAUUGUUGUAAUAGGGGUGGUCAUCAUGUAUAUCCAUCAGAUUCAUUAAGAAGAAAAGCCUGGAUUCACGCAAUUAAACGUGGUGAAACUCAUUUUCAAAGCUGGACUCCGUCAACUUUUCCUGUUGUUUGCAGAGCACAUUUUAUAUCGGACAACUAUUUGACUGAAACUGAAAAAGGAAUGACUCCUGUGCUACUGUGAUAGAGGACAGAAAGAUAUCCAGCAAACGUGUACACAUUGAAAGAAUUAUUGGACUUGCCAAAACUUUCAAAAUACUGACAGAACCCAUGAAUAGCUCUGAAACAAAGCUUUCCUGUAAAAUUAUUUAUGUCUGUUUCAUGUUGUGCAAUUUUAAGAAUUGCAUAGUGCUGUCUUAUGCAUAAUUCACCAUUAAAAAUUGAUGUGAUUAAAGAAUAAACCUUUAUUUAAUUUUUUAAACAUUUGUUCCAUGUACAUUUACCAUCGUAUGUCUUGAAAAACGUUUUCUCUAACAGAGCAGACUUAAAAUAUCUUUCCUAAAAUUCAUUAAAAUUUCUCUUCAUCUCGUCAA